GCUCUGGUGGAGUGCAGUUGUUACCCGCGGCACCUUUUUGACCAUGUCUUGUUUACCACCACCAAACCAGAACUCGGCCUCUUCUAUGUCAUCAAAAGUCACAUAGCACCAUUACUAGAGGCAGUAGAGAUGUUUGACAGCCCAAAUGAUGAGGAUGAUAAUAAAGGUGACUCAGAAGUUGAGAUGGAGGAGGAGGUGUCUGAUUUGUAUGACGACUUGAAGAAUGAUAGGGAUCUCAUCGAUGAUGAAGAAAGGGAAAGUGAGAAGGAAAACAAUUGUGAUGAAGAGAGCUCUGAGGGUUGACAAGGACAGGGGAAAAGCAACAAAGAAUUUUCCUAGGAGAAUAUUAGAUUAGGACUCUGGUGCAGCAGCCCAAUUGAUUACAGCUGUAACCACUGGUUUUGAAACUCUCUAAGCACUGUCAAUCAAAUCACAGUUAGUCGGCUAACUGUCGGCUAGCCUAGUGCACUCCCUAAAAAAAAUAUACUUUUAGGCUUGGGUUGUUAGUGCUUGAUUUAACAGAAACGAAGAGUGAUAAGAGCUUAGCAAUUCAAGUGGUUGAAUUCUUUGCCAGAUCAACAUUUGUUAUUAUAUAUUUUAAUACAACGGUUUGCAAAAAAAUAUGACACUCUACAAACACUAACAAAGGGAAAGGCUUCUUAUCAUGCCAAUCAAUAUAACAAUAUUGUGAUACAUGGAGGUGUCAUGCCGCUCUAUAUGUUUAUAUUAUAUUAACCCCAAUUAUUAUAAUUGUGGAGUGCAAAAUCUACUUGCAGUUAAAAAAAAAACAUAUGUCAACUUGA